GCACAGAACAGACAUUGUGACAUAUAUCUAGGCAAAUUGCCUAGAAGUGAAUCCCCUCUCCUGCUUAAGUCCUUCCCACAGAGAGCGGUUUGAUAUGUCACUGAAACCAGCAUCCAGGUGGUAUUGCUCCAUAUGCCUGAGACCCUAACAAAAGCCUAAUUACAACUCAUAUGCCUGGAGCCAGGACAUGUGCAGGAUGGUGAUGUAACUUUCCUCUCUGGAAUGGGUCCUGCACAAAGGAAUGAUAGUAACAUAUUGCAAAGCCAGACACACAGCCAUGAUGGUCCAAGUUAUAUUGGGAUUCAGCCAAUAGAAGAUAUUUUGCCUGUCAUCCCUAAGCUUAGGACAAUAGGGUCCUGCCCACAAGAAAGAUUGUGACAUCUCACUGGACAAGCACCCACCCAGACUCUGCCAAGAGAGGGGAUUAUUACAUAUUGCAGAGCCCAGCACCUAGGUGGAGUGACUCUCAUCUUUUUCUUCUACCCCGUAUAUAGCCAGCUUGGUGACCUACUAUUUGAGUCUAUACCCAGGUGAUAUAACCCUCUUCUCUGGAAUGGGCCCCACACAAAGGAAGGAUAGUGACAUAUUGCAAGCCCAGGCACACAGGCCCAGAGCACAGUUGAAAUUGUGACAUAUGUACACCAAGCAACCAAGCAAUGUAUAACACCUCAUUUGGCAAUGGAAUCGAGGGCACUUUUACAUAUCACUGAGACCAGCGCCCAGCUGAUGUGAAAUAUUGGCCUGAACCCUGCCUACAAAAGCAUUGUGGCUUUUAUCUAGCUCCAUUACAUAAGUGAUGUGACUUCCUUCUACUGCCUUGGCCCUGCACUUAUGGUGAAUCGUGACACAAAAUUGGGUAGAGCAACCAGCCUGGGCCCUGACCAGCACAGAGAUUGAGGCAUAUUGCUGAACCCAGGACCAAGAUGAAGUCACUCUCCUGCCUUGAUCCUGCACACAGGGACCCUUGUGACAUAUAUACAGGCCAAUUGCCUAGGUGAUGUUGUGCAAUAUACCUGAGACCAGAUCAAUGGCCUAAUAAUGACUCUUUUACCUAGAGCCAGGACAUGUGCAGGAUGGUAACUCUCAUCCCUGAACCUUUCCACAGGUGUUAUUGUCACAUAUACCUUUUCCAGCUCCAAAGUGAUUUAAUAAUCCAGCCUAGUUAUAGCCCACAGAUAAUAUUUGGACAUAUACCUGAGUCAAGAACCUUGGUGAUUUGACUCUCAUGUCUUAACAGUGUCCUCAGAAGGGAUCAUAACAUAUCUCUGGACCCAU
ensembl:lncRNA LINC00293 long intergenic non-protein coding RNA 293